CAAAUAUCUGAUGAGUAGUAAUGAUAUUCCAUGCUCUUGGCUCCCCAUUCAGCUUGGUGCCUGGGGUAGACUGCCCCUUCAUCACCCUCUGAUGCUGAAUAGAAAGCUGCAUCAGGGCACUAGGACUCCUAGAACUGUUACUGAUCUCAAAUCAUCACAUAGGGCAUCUUUACUUAACAUCUUAACUUAUCUGUACUUGGCAUUUAUAUAUCAUGCUCAGUUCAUUUGCCAUUAAUUCAUAUUUCCUCAUUUUUUUUAUUUUCAACUGUUAACAAAUCAUCAUUUGCGAUUUUGAUCUCAAUAAGAC
rnacentral:lncRNA from 1 species